CAGUCGCCACGGUAACACCGAGGGUGCGAGCGUUAAUCGGAUUUACUGGGCGUAAAGCGUGCGUAGGCGGCUUCUUAAGUCGGAUGUGAAAUCCCUGAGCUUAACUUAGGAAUUGCAUUCGAUACUGGGAAGCUAGAGUAUGGGAGAGGAUGGUAGAAUUCCAGGUGUAGCGGUGAAAUGCGUAGAGAUCUGGAGGAAUACCGAUGGCGAAGGCAGCCAUCUGGCCUAAUACUGACGCUGAGGUACGAAAGCAUGGGGAGCAAACAGGAUUAGAUACCCGAGUAGUCCCUGUCUCUUAUAC
rnacentral:rRNA from 1 species